AAAAAAAUGUUGGACAGGUUUUGUCUUAGAGGCUAAGGAGUAUUAACUAAAGAAUUGUGGACUGUAAUAAGUCGAAAUACAAUGCUUUAAGGUUUAACAACAGAGGCAUAUACUUUAGCCAUUUUGUUAGAGACCGCAUAACUUUUUUAAAAUAUAUUACGCCAUUUAAGCGCUGUUUGUUGCCCCCGUAAAAAAAUCGUGUGCUUAUAAAAUUAAGUUAAUAUUUAUGAACAAAAUGGUGCAACUAGUUAGAGCCCAAAAACUUGUAUACAUGCGUGAGCGAGUGAGAAAAUCAAGCGAGAAUCCAGAAUCAAGUUCAGAUCGAAUUCACGUUCAAGCUGUGCAAGUGUGUGCGGGAGUGUGUGUGCACAGUUGCUAUUGGCUGCAUGCAAAGUAGUUCGUGUGUUUGAUCUGUACUUCGGACGCGAGUCACCUUGUUUUUGGUAAUCAUCUUCUUGACGCAAUGCUCCACCUGUACGUUCCACUUCAUGAAGGUCACAUAGGCAAUGUAUAUGGUAAACAGGAUGAGCGCCUCCCACCAGAAGAUGCGAUUGUCGCGAAAAAAGUAGAUCAAUACCAGCAAACUGAUGCUAUAGAAUGAGCAAUCGCGAAAUAGUGGCCACCAGGUCAACGAUAAGACCGUACGCGAGAAUAACGCACACAUGCCAAUCACGAAGAGAAUGUUAAAGACAGCAGAUCCAACAAUCGUACCAAUGCCAACAUCAUCGAACGACACGAAAACGCCAAUGACACUCGUGAAGAGCUCCGGGGCACUGCCACCCGCCGCCAUAAACGUUGCGCCGGCCACAUCGUCCGUGAUGCCGAGCUUUUCAAUGAUUACGUCAAGGGAAGGCACGAAGAAUUCAUCGCAGACAAUUGCCAGCGCCACAAACAUGUAUAUAACACCGAUAAUGUGCAGGAUGACAGCGCCGUUCUCAAGCUGUUCUUUCGUGAAUAGGUCCUUUGGAAAUAGUGGCGUUUUCGUGGUGUUUGAAAUGUCGGUUAGCGUUUCUGCAAAAUAGAAAAAAACAAAACAUUUUCGAAUUAGUAUUGGAUGUGACACGCAUAUUCUAUCAGGGGACUUGGGGCAAUCCUUAAGAGACCAGUGUACCAGACACCUUAAGUUGAAUACAUGACAAUUUAAGGCCUUAACUAAUUGAGAAUUAUAUCCGGGGAGAAUCGUUAAAAGACCAGUGCACCAGACGCCUUAAGUUGAAUACAUGACAAUUUAUGGCCUUAACUAAUUGAGAAUUAUAUCCGCAUAAGUUUCUACUAAUAA